UACAGAGGUCUCAAGCGUUGUUCGGAUUCAUUGGGCGUAAAGGGUGUGUAGGUGGCGCCGUAAGUCGGGUGUGAAAUUUCGGAGCUUAACUCCGAAACUGCAUUCGAUACUGCGGUGCUUGAGGACUGGAGAGGAGACUGGAAUUCAUGGUGUAGCAGUGAAAAUGCGUAGAGAUCAUGAGGAAGACCAGUGGCGAAAGGCGGGUCUCUGGACAGUUCCUGACACUGAGACACGAAGGCCAGGGGAGCAAACGGG
rnacentral:rRNA from 1 species